GUGCUCGCUUCGGCAGCACUUAUACUAAAAAUUGGAACGAUACAGAGAAAAUUAGCAUGGCCCCUGUGCAAGGAUGACAUGCAAAUUCGUGAAACAUUCUAUAUUUUU
rnacentral:snRNA from 1 species